AUUGAACGCUGGCGGCAUGCUUUACACAUGCAAGUCGAACGGUAGAGGGGGCAACCCCUUGAGAGUGGCGAACGGGUGAGUAAUAUAUCGGAACGUGCCCAGUCGUGGGGAUAACGUAGCGAAAGUUACGCUAAUACCGCAUACGAUCUACGGAUGAAAGCGGGGGACUCGCAAGAGCCUCGCGCGAUUGGAGCGGCCGAUAUCAGAUUAGGUAGUUGGUGGGGUAAAGGCUCACCAAGCCAACGAUCUGUAGCUGGUCUGAGAGGACGACCAGCCACACUGGAACUGAGACACGGUCCAGACUCCUACGGGAGGCAGCAGUGGGGAAUAUUGGACAAUGGGCGGCAAGCCUGAUCCAGCCAUGCCGCGUGCAGGAUGAAGG
rnacentral:rRNA from 1 species